UCUGCCGUCUGCAGUCUCAAUCUGCCAGAAAGAGAUAAGUACUUUUUUACGCCAAAUCAAUAUUACUGAGAUAACGCAAUUUAUUUUGUUCCCUCCCAACCUCUGAUGGGAAGCAUGACGAAGAAUCAAUCCUAAACUGGAACAAAUGCAGUCAGUUCAUAGAGAGAAAUGGUUCCUAUUUGUUCCCAGCUGGUCAAUACGCAUUGGAAGCCCAGCUGAGAGCACUUUAAUGAGUGUGUGCUGGCUUGUUUGCCAUAGAAGACAGAGACGUCAUUUCAGACUCCAUGAUUCUGGCCUGCACUUUUCCAGUGCAUCAUGCCAUGAUUACUAUGAAGCCAAUAUAGGAAUAUUCCAGCUUAAUUUCCACAGCUGCCGAGCAUCUGAAUACUGGCACAGACAUUGUGGGUGAACAGCACUGCAGAGGGCCUGCCUUCAGAUGUCACACCAUCUAAAAUCUUUAUGGACUCUCAACAUUUUCUGUCAACUGAGACUGUAACCGUGCAGAAAUCCAAUUACAGCCCAAUGCGAUGCAAUGACUAUUAAAUGGAUGAUUUACACGGCGAGCAGAAGGUGCUUUGUACGGAGCUAUAAUCGUACUGUACCGUUAAUUCCUAAGAAAUGGUUGUAUGGCAUGCUGAUUGAUAAUAUCGACCUGGACCGAAGACCAGUCAUCAGGGGCCAUGUGGAGGUGUCAAUAAGCAGCCAUUUAAAGCAAGAGCAUGCCACAAAUUGUGAAGAAAUUCAAUUUUCCAUCACUCGUUUCAAAGAGUGUUGUGUGGUCUCCUUGACACAUCCCAUCAAACAAAAGCACCGCUGUGCAGCCGAGAGACUACAGACUGGCAGAGCACUUAAUGUACACAGUUAUCCAUUCCCCAGGAGUUCGCUUCUGACAGAGCACCAGCACCUCUAGACUCCAUGCACGAUACUCACUGCCAAUGUGAAAAAUAUAGAACGUGAAUUGUGCAUUUUUGGAAAAACUUUUGCCAAACUGGACUGGAUUGCAUGUGUCUUUUGAUCUAGUUAAUAUAAUUUUUGAUCUAGUUAAUACACAACGACAUUAAGCAGAAGGUCUUGGUUACACACAUAAACCUCAUUCGCUGGUGGAGGGAAUGGAGACGUUAUGUCGACAUAGGGGAUUUACUUGAGAGCCCCAUUCCACUCUGAAUUUAAGAGAAAAUGACCAAUGAAUAUUGGCUAGUGGAUUUUGCAUCAGGGAACUAGGGUUGUGUACAUAACCGAGACAUUCACUAUCUGUCGGUCACUACUGAUUAUGUUGUGACGACACUGUGUGUCCUUGGAACAACCUGGACCCCAUCACAACCCUGUAGCAAAUGUUGACAAACAGCUGCAUGUCAGACAAAUGCUACACAAUGGUCGUAACCUUCCCAAUGCCCUAGUGUAAAUUUGCUGAUCUUGGCACCUGCAGGGACCAAAAGGUGAGUACACUGCUGCUGGAGAUAGCCUAGCCGCUGUUCCUUUCAUGAAAGGUACUUCAAGACUUUCCUGUUUGUUACGGCGCAACCGGCAAGACCUGUUCCUCGACCUCCCUGACAUUGCACAGUGUCAUGCAUGCUUGUGAGGGCCCGAGGCCAGCUGUGUGCCAGUGCAUCUGUGCCAAGGGGGGCCUAAGUCAGGAAGUAAUUCAGCUGGCAGUGGGAGGACUUAUGGGAAGUAAACAGGUCUACCUGAGCUUCCCUGAAUUGACUCUAGAUCAGCCUGAUUAUUUCGAGAUGGAGCUGCCAUUCUCUGGGGAACGUGAGCUGUCAUGAGAGCAUGUCGGCUGCACAACUGAGCUCCCCUGGAAUGUGGACAGCACACAGCAACUUGAGCCAUGUCUGACUCCAGAGGAGGAGAUCAUGGCUGAGCAGUGACACGCAACAUGAUCAUAGACCACCCUGCCAGCUGAUGCACAAGACAGCCACAGUGUUGUCCAUGUGGACAAACAUGUGCUUAUCUUGCAGCGAUGGACGGAACUGCUGCAAUGUCAGAUGCACUGCCAACAGCUCUAGGCAGUUGAUGUGCCAAAGCAGUCGAGGUCCUGUCCAGAGCCCCGAGGCUGCCUGCCCAUUGCAUGUAACUCCCCAACCUGUACUGGAGGCAUCCGUUGUGACAACGGCAUGCCAGGACACUUGUUCUAAGGGCACUCUGGCCCGUAUAAAUGCAAGGUCUGUCCAGGGGUUGAAUAGGCGGUGUACCGUGAUGCCAUGCCCAUCUCGGGACUCAGUAGUGUGAACUAAGUGAAGUGGUUUCAUAUGAAGCAAUCCAAGCAGCUUUACUGUGGCUGCAAAUGCCAUAUGCCCCAGGAGCCUCUGAGAGAGUUUCAGAGAUACCACAUCCCUGCCUCUGAGGGGACUCAGGUAGUUCAGCCCUGACUAGGUGCGCUCAUUGGUGAGACUUGCUGUCAUAUUCACCGAGUCUAACUCCAUACCAAGAAAAGAGAUCUUCUGCACUGGGGAGAGUUUGCUCUUUUCCCAGUUGACCUGAAGCCCCAACUGGCUGAGGUGCUGGAGGACCAGCUGCACAACUGCUCUUGUGACCUGGCCAUGAUAAGCCAGACGUAGAGAUAGUUGAGGAUCCUGAUGCCCACUUCCUAUAAUAGGGCAAGGGCACCCUCCAUGACUUUCAUAAAGACAUGGGGGACAGGGACAGCCCCAAGGGGAGGACCCUGUACUGCCACGCCCAACCCUCAAACACAAACCAUAGGAACGGCCAAUGCCGAGGAAGAAUCGAGACAUUAUAGUAAGUGUCCUUCAGACCGACCGCUGCAAACCAAUCCUGGUGCUGGAUGCAUCUGAUGGUGUGCUUCUGCAUCAACAUUUUGAAUGGGAGCUUGUGUAGGGCCCGAUUCAAGACUCACAGAUCCAGGAUUGGCCAAAAGAAACAUCUUGCUUGGGCACGAGGAAGUUAGUUCUUUAAAAUCCUGACUUCAUCUUGGCCGGAUGGACAGGUUCGAUUGCGUCCUUCGCCAGUAGGACAGCAAUCUCGCUGCACAGGACAGGGGCAUCUCGAGCUACCACCAAGUUUUUUGAUUACGCUGAACCUGGGGGGUCGCCUGGCGAACUGCAUCGCGUAGCUGAGUCAACCUGUCUGAAUGAGGGAGUAGGACAGGCUGGGCAGCGCAAGCCAUGCUUCCAGGCUCCGUGCGAUUUUAUAUAUAUAUGCACAUUAUAAAUGCAACACUUGUUUUUGCCCCCAUUUUUUAUGAGCUGACCCCAAAGAUCUAAGACUUUUUCUAUAUACACAAACGGUCUAAUUCUCUCAAAUCUAUGUUAGUGAUCACUUCUCCUUUGACUUCUCCUUCUCUUUUGUCUCCAAAGGCGUUUCAGAGAAUUUGGCAGUACAUCCAACCGGCCUCACAACCGCAGACCACAUGGAACCACACCUGCCCAGGACCUCCACAUCCAGCACCUCCAAGAUCAUCUAAGACCAGCCACCUGGACAGCUGCUGCAACAAUCGGUUUACAUAACCAAAUAAUUUCUGCACAAACUGUACAGGGCAGAUAGCAGACAGUGUGUAUGGCAUCGUGUGGGUGUGAUUUGAUGAUUUCAGUGUUGUGGAUCGAGUGGCCCAUGGCGGUGGGGUUCUGGUAAGGGCAAGUGUAUGUUAUGGACAACGAACCCAGGUGCAUUGUAUUGAUGGCAUUUUGAAUGCACAGAGAUACUGUGACGAGAUCCUGAGGCCCAUUGUUGUGCCAUUUAUCCAUGACCAUCACCUCAUGUAUAAUGAUAAUGCAGCAUGAUAAUGCAUGGCACCAUGUUGAAAGGAUCUGUACACAAUUACCGGAAGUUGAAAACAUCCCAGUUUUUGCAAGGCCAGCAUACUCACCAGACAUGUCACCCAUUGAGCAUGUUUGGGAUGCUCUGGAUCGGCAUAUUCAACAGCAUGUUCCAGAUUCAACUUCACACAGCCAUUGAAGAAGAGUGGACCAACAUUCCAAAGGCCACAAUCAACAACCUGACCAACUCAACUGAGAUGUGUUGCACUGCAUGAGGCAAAUGGUGGUCACACCAGAUACCCGGAUCCGGACCUUAACAAACCACCCCCCGCCCCUAAGACACACCUGUGCAAUAAUCAUGCUGUCUAAUUAGCAUCUUGAUAUGCCACACCUGUAAAGCCGCGUUCAGACUGCACGAUUUUAGCCCAGUUUUUGGCUCGCCGACAUGUUUUGAGAAAUCGGCGACAAAUGCCCGAAAUCACAGGCAAAUUGGUGCUCAAUCACGCAGUGUGAAUGAGCAAAGAUGUGAUCUGAGAGAAUUGCCAACGAGUCGCCGAUGCCCGUGAGUGAUGCCCGUGAGUGUUUCCUUGUCACAUCUUGCGUGUGUUGGGUUGUGAAAAUAGAGUUGUCUGCGAUUCUUCCUAUUGUAAAGUCAUGCAGUGUCGCCGAUCCAUCGUGCAGUGUGAACACAGCAGUGACUGAAUGCUGGCCAAUAUAGUCAUGCAGUGUGAAAAGAACAGUGACCCAACUACUUUGAAAAUCGUGCAGUCUGAACUCGGCUUAAGGUGAAUGGAUUAUCUCGGCAAAGGAGAAGUGCUCACCACCACAAAUUCAGACAGAUUUGUGAACAAUAUUUGAGAGAAAUAGGCCUUUUGUGUACACAGAAAAAGUCUUAGAUCUUUGAGUUCAGCUCAUGAAACAUGGGGGCAAAAACAAGUGCUGUGUUUAUAAUUUUGUUCAGUGUAUAUACAUGUAUAUUGAAACAAAACAAAACCAAUGGAUAUGUGCAUGUUUUCAAUUAACCAAUAAAUAAGUAAUUAAAUAAAUAAAUAAAUGAACGCACAGAGAACACAAUGAGAAAAAAUAUGAGCUGUCAACAAUAGAUGAAGUUAGUUUCCCCAGCAGAGAGCAGAGGCAGUGCCUGUUCAUCUCCCUGUUGUAUGAGAGGUGCUGCUUCAGUGUAAUUUAUGAAGUGUGAGGCUCCUAACGGCAUCAUCAACAACUCCCUCUCAUGCCCUUCUCCCCCUCUCCAUGUCUGUAUCUCUCUUCUCUCCUCCUCCCUCCAUUCCCCUACCUCUCACUAUCUUCUCUUCUGAAAGGUAGACAGCCCCACAGCGCAUUUUUCAGCUCUGCUCUUUAAAGCUCCAUUCAUCACUGGCAGAAGAGCUUGUCUCUAUCUCCUUUCCAGCACUGGCCAAGAGGACGUGCUUCUACAUUAAACACCUAUUCCUCACCCUAUGUCUUAAAGGAUAAAAGUGCCCCUGCUUUCAUAGCUCAGCAUCUUCUGUGAAUUAAAGAGGACUUCCAUAUUUUUUCAAGAUUGCAUCUUAGUGGUUUCAAGUGAAGAGGCUCUGAGAAUUGGACAACAAUUGGUGUAACUGGAAAUUAAUUAACUUGUUGCAGAUGUGUAUUAAUGUGUUUUGCACAGACACUUGCAAUAAAUAAAUAAUAUGUAUCAAUCACAUCAUAAUAUAGUAUAAAUAACCCUUUUUUCUAAUCCAAGAAAUACAAUGCAGUGAAUAUGUACAUAUCCCUGCCCUAUAAAUAAAUAAAACUGGAAUCUCAGUGAUUAUCAGAUCUCCACCACUGAGUGUCUCCCUAUUCACAUUU